rnacentral:pre_miRNA from 1 species
AGUCAUGUCUUGCAGCCAAGGAUGACUUGCCUAGCUAAAAACCAUUACAUGGGACUUAAUUUGUAUAUAUAAUUCUAUGAUCACAUAUAUCAUACAGUAUAUGAAUUAUUAAGUCAAGUCCCUUGUUUGGUUUAUUAGCAGGCAGGUAUCCCAGGCUUGUUGACUGUCCCU